GAUGAACGCUGGCGGCGUGCCUAAUACAUGCAAGUCGAGCGGACAGACGAUGAGCUUGCGCCUCUGACGUUAGCGGCGGACGGGUGAGUAACACGUGUAUAACCUACCUAUAAUACGGGGAUAACUACGGGAAUCCGGAGCUUAUCCCGGAUAAUAUCUUGAACCGCAUGGUUGAAUGGUGAGAUACGGCUUUGCUGUAUCUUCUAGCUGGAUCUGCGCCGCAUUAGCUAGUUGGUAAGGUAAAGGCUUACCAAGGCAACGAGGCGUAGACGACCUGAGAGACGGAUAGGCGGCCUGGGAAGUGAGACGCGGACCAGACUCCUACGAGAGGCAGCAGUAGCGUAUGUGCGGCAACGGGCGGAAGUCUUACGCAGCAACGCCGAGUGAGUGACGGAAGUCCUCCGAGCGUGAUGAUCUGCUAUUAGUGAUGAACAAAUUUGUACGUAGCUGUGCCGUGCGUGACGGUACCUGGUCAGAAAGCCACGGCUAACUACGUG
rnacentral:rRNA from 1 species